rnacentral:rRNA from 1 species
CACGUAGGGUGCGAGCGUUGUCCGGAAUUAUUGGGCGUAAAGAGCUCGUAGGCGGUGUGUCGCGUCGGCCGUGAAAACCUGCAGCUUAACUGUGGGCUUGCGGUCGAUACGGGCAUCACUGGAGUUCGGCAGGGGAGACUGGAAUUCCUGGUGUAGCGGUGGAAUGCGCAGAUAUCAGGAGGAACACCGGUGGCGAAGGCGGGUCUCUGGGCCGAAACUGACGCUGAGGAGCGAAAGCGUGGGGAGCAAACAGGA